rnacentral:misc_RNA from 1 species
AAGAAAUGUUAAAGACGGAAGUCUUAAACUGAAAAGGGAGUUGCGGAUAAGUUGAAAGACUUUGAAGCGCUCUCAACACCUAUUGUGAACCAUGUUUAAGUCUUUGGCAAGAUGUCUUUAUUGACCUUGCCUUUGAUGUUAAAACUUGAUAUUGCCAAAGAUCAUCCUUUACAUUUACAAUGUAAA